AGUGAACGCUGGCGGUAGGCCUAACACAUGCAAGUCGAACGGCAGCACAGUAAGAGCUUGCUCUUACGGGUGGCGAGUGGCGGACGGGUGAGGAAUACAUCGGAAUCUACUUUUUCGUGGGGGAUAACGUAGGGAAACUUACGCUAAUACCGCAUACGACCUACGGGUGAAAGCAGGGGAUCUUCGGACCUUGCGCGAUUGAAUGAGCCGAUGUCGGACUAGCUAGUUGGCGGGGUAAAGGCCCACCAAGGCGACGAUCCGUAGCUGGUCUGAGAGGAUGAUCAGCCACACUGGAACUGAGACACGGUCCAGACUCCUACGGGAGGCAGCAGUGGGGAAUAUUGGACAAUGGGCGCAAGCCUGAUCCAGCCAUAUCGCGUGUGUGAAGAAGGCCUUCGGGUUGUAAAGCCCUUUUGUUGGGAAAGAAAAGCAGCAGGUUAAUACCCCGCUGUUCUGACGGUACCCAAAGAAUAAGCACCGGCUAACUUCGUG
rnacentral:rRNA from 1 species